GGAAUCUUCCGCAAUGGGCGCAAGCCUGACGGAGCAACGCCGCGUGAGUGAAGAAGGCCUUCGGGUCGUAAAGCUCUGUCUUAAGGGAAGAACAACAGUAGUGAGAAUAUUGCUAUUGUCUGACGGUACCUUAGGAGGAAGCUCCGGCUAACUACGUGCCAGCAGCCGCGGUAAUACGUAGGGAGCGAGCGUUGUCCGGAAUUACUGGGCGUAAAGGGCGUGUAGGCGGAGAUCUAAGCAGGGUGUGAAAACUAUGGGCUCAACCCGUAGCCUGCAUUCUGAACUGGAUCCCUUGAGGGCAGGAGAGGAAAGUGGAAUUCCUAGUGUAGCGGUGAAAUGCGUAGAUAUUAGGAGGAACACCAGUGGCGAAGGCGACUUUCUGGACUGUACCUGACGCUGAGGCGCGAAAGCGUGGGGAGCAAACA
rnacentral:rRNA from 1 species